rnacentral:other from 1 species
AAUGUCCUGAAGUGUUCGUUAAGGAUUUAUAAUUCAACCUACAAAUUGACCUUGGGAAUUCGGGUUCAUCUAUUGGAUGUCAUGCCUCCUUAUGGAGGAAGACAGAAUUAGUGACAGAGUACCCCCCUAUCUAUGAUAGGGUGUGAAUUAUAUCCUGACGGCAUGUCGGGAUUUUU